rnacentral:rRNA from 1 species
CGUAGGGCGCAAGCGUUGUCCGGAAUUAUUGGGCGUAAAGAGCUCGUAGGCGGCUUGUCGCGUCGGAUGUGAAAGCCCGGGGCUUAACCCCGGGUCUGCAUUCGAUACGGGCAGGCUAGAGUGUGGUAGGGGAGAUCGGAAUUCCUGGUGUAGCGGUGAAAUGCGCAGAUAUCAGGAGGAACACCGGUGGCGAAGGCGGGUCUCUGGGCCAUUACUGACGCUGAGGAGCGAAAGCGUGGGGAGCGAACAGGAUUAGAUACCCUGGUAGUCCACGCCGUAAACGUUGGGAACUAGGUGUUGGCGACAUUCCACGUCGUCGGUGCCGCAGCUAACGCAUUAAGUUCCCCGCCUGGGGAGUACGGCCGCAAGGCUA